rnacentral:tRNA from 1 species
ACGCGUUUAGCAUAGAGGCCAAAUGCACGGAGCUUAUAUCUCCGUUAUCGUUGGUUCAAAUCCAACAACGCGUA